UACGUAGGGUGCGAGCGUUGUCCGGAAUUACUGGGCGUAAAGCGUGCGCAGGCGGUUAUGCAAGACAGAUGUGAAAUCCCCGGGCUCAACCUGGGAACUGCAUUUGUGACUGCAUGGCUGGAGUGCGGCAGAGGGGGAUGGAAUUCCGCGUGUAGCAGUGAAAUGCGUAGAUAUGCGGAGGAACACCGAUGGCGAAGGCAAUCCCCUGGGCCGGUACUGACGCUGAGGCACGAAGGCGUGGGGAGCGAACGGG
rnacentral:rRNA from 1 species